rnacentral:lncRNA from 1 species
ACCCUCUUGUCAAAAUCCGAUUUUUUACUUUUCCUCCCUGUUAUUUAAAAACCUACACUUUGCCCCCUUGUAAAAUGAAAAAUGUACACUUCAACUCCUACCGUUAGUAAUCUGUUAGGGUUUUGUUAUAAAAUAUUUUUUUAUGCCAAAAAUACUCCUUCGCCCUUCCCUGUUGCUUCGCCUCUCUCCGGCUCGCCGUCUCGCCGCCGCCGCGCCGCCUCGCCUUCCUCCACUGCCUCGCCUUCGCCUUCGCCCACAUCCCCUUCGCCCUCAUCCGCCGCCUCGCCUUCGCCCUCGUUGCCCUUGCCUAGCUCUCCAUCAGCACCUACCUCG